UCCUCCCACUUUAUAAAUAUAGGCCUGGAUGAGGCCUUCCCUUCCUUUUGUCUCCAGACUUGCAUGUGUUGGUGCUACAGAGUAUGCCAUGUGUGUUUUGACUCGCUUCAUUAACCAUGGCACUUGGUAGCAUCAGCAUGAAAUGUUAAGACAAAUAAACUAAACGGAAAGAAAUCAAUCUCUGUAUCCUGGUGGUUUGUGUGGCUCCAGUUGAACCGUGAUAUCCACAACACUUGAGGCAGCCAACUUGAGACUGCUGCUACACUUACAUGGCGUGGCCUAUUACAGAAGCAGAAAAUAUGAAGCUCUCUACGUACCACCGUUAUGAUCCAGCAGCGUAGACAGGCAGGAGGUCAUCCAGCCAGGCUAGGUCAUGCUGGGAGAAGACCAUGUCGAGCAUCUUUCUGACAACCAUCAGACCCAGGAUCUGAAGAGUUUGACACAGAGAGACACACUUUGUUUAAACCUCCAUUCAUUCACCUCAUACAUGAGCCUGUAAGGACACUAUGGAUCAUAUCUGCCUGCCUGAUAAACAACAUCCACUGCUGGCACACAGCAUACCUGGAUUCCACUGAGAGAAGCUACGCCCAUGUAGAGGAAGACACCGUACAGUACGGGCAUGGGGAUAAACUGCAAGCAGAGGGAAGAAAGUCAUUACAACCUGUUAAAGCUUCUAGACUGCAAGCCCUGUGGCAUAUACAACACAUAUAUACAUAUAAUAAUAACAAUGACAUAUUGAACACUUUCUCUUUGGGCUGUAUUGUGAUCUAAUAAGAACCCAUAAAGAAGAUCAACAGUACAAAGUCUUCUGAACAAUGAGCAUUAAAAUCAACAGAAAACUGUUACAUUGUCACACAGAACAAAAGCAUGUAUUGUUCAUGCUGAAUGAAUAAAC